CUAACUGGUAUGAUCUUAAUUGUCCACCCUGAAGCAUGGAUGGCUGCUCUGUUACCUGAUUUACAAUAUAAAUUAGUUAGAUGCUCCGAUUAACAAAAGCGGGAAGUUGCAGUUAUCAUUCUGCAACAUCAAGAAUUUACAUAAGAGCAAAAGAAUGCUGAACCUCACAGCUCUAGCUAGGCCACAUGGGAAGUAAGCAGAAGCAGUUUUGUUUGUUUUCAAUGACAGCUUGCCAAGAAAAUGACAGGAAAAAUGAUCCAUACUGGCUAAUCAUGCGCGCUAAUCUCUAAAGGGGGAAAGGCCACUGCUCAGGAUUGAUCUCACUUAAGCAGGGUCCAGCCUCUUAAAAGGGUCUCUAAAAGGGCUAUCAGAACACAAUCCCAACGGUUAUUAUUUCUCUUAAGAGUUGAAUCCAGGCACUUGUGCUUAGAAAUUCCCACAAGUUAAAACAUUUUAAAGGUUCAUUGGUUGGCCAUACAGAAACUGCCAUAAUGGCACUGUCAAUAAAGUUUUUAGUCCACAAGGUUCAAAUUGCAAGCACAUAUAAACUCUCAAUCUUGUGUAUCCCCUGGGCUUUCAUUUCUUGAAGGAUCCAACUCAGGAGAAUCAGCUUCUGAGUCUUUCAAGGGUUCAAUGCCAUCUGAAUGUUUUCCAUCUUUCUGACGCUGAACUGCAGCCCCCAAAUUAACAAGGAGUUUAUUUGACUCUUCAAGAAGCAUUGUAAGUCGCUCAUUCUUGCUCUCCUUUACUAAUCUCAUAUAAGCUUCUUGAUCAUCCGCCUUCAGGGCUUGGAACCUCAGCUUUUCAGCUCGAGUAGCACGCUGCCUUUGCCUACCAUGCCAUGCCUACAAUACCCAUUACUCUAUGUUAUGGCAAGAACAGUAAUGAUCAAUCAAGCUACUAUACCUACAAAAUUUACUAUACCAUGUAAAUCCAUCCACUAAGUGAUACCUAGAAAGAAACAACUUCAUUUCAUAGUAUGAAAUUCAUACUAGUAUUAGUUAAGGAUGCUUCAAAGUAGUAUAUGCUUAUUAUUUCUUUA